CUUCGUCGAUCUGCUGCGGGCUGAUGAAGUGGAUGUGCGUAUCGAUGCCGCCCGCCGUCACGAUCAUGCCUUCGCCCGCGAUCACUUCCGUCGCCGCGCCGAUCGCGAUCGUCACGCCGGGCUGGAUGUCAGGAUUGCCCGCUUUGCCGAUGGCUUCGAUGCGGCCGUUCUUGAUGCCGAUGUCAGCCUUGACGAUGCCCCAGUGAUCGAGAAUCAGCGCGUUCGUGACGACGGUGUCGACCACGUCCGCCGCGACGCGCUGCGACUGGCCCAUGCCGUCGCGUAU
rnacentral:sRNA from 1 species